AACCUAGCACACCUGCGGUGUGUACCUGCGGAGGGAUCAUUACAAGUGACCCCGGUCUUACCACCGGGAUGUUCAUAACCCUUUGUUGUCCGACUCUGUUGCCUCCGGGGCGACCCUGCCUUCGGGCGGGGGCCCCGGGUGGACACUUCAAACUCUUGCGUAACUUUGCAGUCUGAGUAAACUUAAUUAAUAAAUUAAAACUUUCAACAAUGGAUCU
rnacentral:misc_RNA from 1 species